rnacentral:snRNA from 1 species
AUCAUUUCUUUGCCUUUUGGCUAAGAUCAAGUGUGGUACCAAUUCCCUCAACUGAUCUUCAAAUGGAAUAAUAUUGAAUUAGUUUCAGGAUGCUCCAGUUUGUCAAUGUUCUUCCUAAAACAUGGCAACCCAGACUGGUGAUGACCUUUCGCUGCAGUGAAUGGGCUGGACCUCAG